GUGUACUGGUCCGGCCGGGCCUUUCCUUCUGGGGAACCUCAUGCCCUUCACUGGGCGUGCUGGGGAACCAGGACUUUUACUUUGAAAAAAUUAGAGUGUUCAAAGCAGGCCUUUGCUCGAAUACAUUAGCAUGGAAUAAUAGAAUAGGACGUGUGGUUCUAUUUUGUUGGUUUCUAGGACCGCCGUAAUGAUUAAUAGGGAUAGUCGGGGGCAUCAGUAUUCAAGCGUCAGAGGUGAAAUUCUUGGAUUGCUUGAAGACUAACUACUGCGAAAGCAUUUGCCAAGGAUGUUUUCAUUAAUCAGUGAACGAAAGUUAGGGGAUCGAAGACGAUCAGAUACCGUCGUAGUCUUAACCAUAAACUAUGCCGACUAGGGAUCGGACGGUGUUAGUAUUUUGACCCGUUCGGCACCUUACGAGAAAUCAAAGUUUUUGGGUUCUGGGGGGAGUAUGGUCGCAAGGCUGAAACUUAAAGAAAUUGACGGAAGGGCACCACCAGGCGUGGAGCCUGCGGCUUANUUUGACUCAACACGGGGAAACUCACCAGGUCCAGACACAAUAAGGAUUGACAGAUUGAGAGCUCUUUCUUGAUUUUGUGGGUGGUGGUGCAUGGCCGUUCUUAGUUGGUGGAGUGAUUUGUCUGCUUAAUUGC
rnacentral:rRNA from 1 species